GCAAGAUAAACUACAUUAACUUUGUAGCAAGCAAUUCUAGUCACAUAGACCAUCAAUAUUCGAGUCUAAGAUUUUCUACUCUAGUGUAAUUAGAAACUGUUCUCAGUUCUAACAAAAUAUUAUUUUAACUGAGUGCACCCAUUACUUCACAAUAGGCACCAGACUAAUGCAAAAUCCACAACCUGUGUCAAAAUAAGGAAGACCUCUAGACUACUCAACUAAGAUACAGAACCAACUGAGAGACAUCCCCUGUCUACCUAAUACAAAAAGCAAACUCAGUGACAGCUGGGACACACAACGACCAUUGACAAGAUCUAGAGAAGAUUGAGAUGGCAUAUAAACUCAAAUCUACCCAGUACGGGUCAUCUUCAUUUUUGGCAUUGCCUUCUUCAUCUGCCGAGCACGCUCUUUAGCCUCUUUCUUGCGAAGUGCCUCUGCACUAAGCUUAGCCUCAGCUUCCUCUCCCUUCUUUCUCUGUUCAGCCUUCUUCCUCUGCAGUGCUUCUUGCCUGGCAUUCUGAAGUUCUUUGUAAAUUUCUUGGGCAACCUUCAUUCUUGCUCCGUCAGUUUUAGUGCGGGCAUGCGAGCUCAGCUUGUAUCGUCCAAUUAAGUCGAUGUAAUAAGGAACAAGAGCCACAAGCCGGGUCAUGUCAGCCAUGUUUUUGGCAUCAGGGAGA
rnacentral:misc_RNA from 1 species